AGUGAACGCUGGCGGUAGGCCUAACACAUGCAAGUCGAACGGCAGCACAGUAAGAGCUUGCUCUUACGGGUGGCGAGUGGCGGACGGGUGAGGAAUACAUCGGAAUCUACUUUUUCGUGGGGGAUAACGUAGGGAAACUUACGCUAAUACCGCAUACGACCUACGGGUGAAAGCAGGGGAUCUUCGGACCUUGCGCGAUUGAAUGAGCCGAUGUCGGAUUAGCUAGUUGGCGGGGUAAAGGCCCACCAAGGCGACGAUCCGUAGCUGGUCUGAGAGGAUGAUCAGCCACACUGGAACUGAGACACGGUCAAGAGUACUACGGGAGGCAGCAGUGGGGAAUAUUGGACAAUGGGCGCAAGCCUGAUCCAGCCAUACCGCGUGGGUGAAGAAGGCCUUCGGGUUGUAAAGCCCUUUUGUUGGGAAAGAAAAGCAGCAGGUUAAUACCCCGCUGUUCUGACGGUACCCAAAGAAUAAGCACCGGCUAACUUCGUG
rnacentral:rRNA from 1 species